UACGAAGGUCCCAAGCGUUAUCCGGAUUUAUUGGGUUUAAAGGGUGCGUAGGCGGACUAUUAAGUCAGUGGUGAAAGCCCCAGGCCCAACCUGGGAAUUGCCAUUGAUACUGAUGGUCUUGAGUAUAUUUGAAGUGGGCGGAAUGUGUCAUGUAGCGGUGAAAUGCUUAGAUAUGACACAGAACACCGAUUGCGUAGGCAGCUCACUAAACUGUAACUGACGCUGAGGCACGAAAGCGUGGGGAGCAAACAGG
rnacentral:rRNA from 1 species